CUCUCCGCUCCCCCUCUCCGGUGCUCAACGUUGCUGGUCUACUAUCCACCGGUCCUGGCAACACAUCUUUACACACACCUGGCAACCAUCAGUAUGCACACCGGCGUCACAUCAUCAGUCACACCUGGACUUCAUCACACCGUUGAUUACUUACCCAUUAUAAAGCACUCUUUUGUUAUCAGUCAUCGGGUAGUAGUGUAUUUGUUUCAAUGUCAGACGCUUCUCUUGGUUUGUAUCGCUCGAUGUUCAUUAUAGUAAACUCACUAACUGCACCUACUUUCUGACUCCCUCUGUCUACGUUACAAGACCCCUUGACUUUUUCCACAUUUUGUUAUGUGAAAAACAUAUGCUGAAAUAGAUUAAAUAAAUUAAAAUGCUCAUCAAUAUACACAAAAUACCCCAUAACGAGAAAGCGAAAACAGGUUUUUAUGAAUUGAAAAAACUGAAAUACCUUAUUUAAAUAAGUAUUCAUACCCUUUGCUAUGAGACUCGAAAUUGAGCUCAGGUGCAUCCUGUUUCCAUUGAUCCUCCUUGAGAUGUUUUUACAACUUGAUUGGAGUCCACCUGUGGUAAAUUCAAUUGACUGGACAUGAUUUGGAAAGGCACACACCUGCCUAUGUAAGGUCCCACAAUUGACAGUGCAUGUCAAAGCAAAAACCAAGCCAUGACGUCCCAAGAACACAGUGGCCUCCAUCAUUCUUGAAUGGAAGAAGUUUGGAACCACCAAGACUCUUCCUCAAGCUGGUCGCCCGGCCAAACUGAAACAUCGAUGGAGAAGGGCCUUGGUCAGGGAGGUGAUCAAGAACCUGAUGGUAACUCUGAAAGAGCUCUAGAGUUCCUCUGUGGAGAUGGGAGAACCUUCCAGAAGGACAACCAUCUCUGCAGCAUUCCACCAAUCAGGCCUUUAUGGUAGAGUGGCCAGACAGAAGCCACUCCUCAGUUAAAGGCACAUGACAGCCCACUUGGAGUUUUCCAAAAGGUACCUAAAGACUCACAGACCAUGAGAAACAAGAUUCUCUGGUCUGAUGAAACCAAGAUUGAACAAUUUGGUCUGAAUGCCAAGCGUCACGUCUGGAGGAAACAUGAACCCAUCCCUAUGGUGAAGCAUGGUGAUGGCAAGGACUGGGAGACUAGUCAGGAUCGAGGCAAAGAUUAACAGAGAAAAGUACAGAUAAAUCCUUGAUGAAAACCUGCUCCAGAGUGCUCAGGACCUCAGACUGGGGCAAAGGUUCACCUUCCAACAGGUAGCAAUGCUCCCCAUCAUACCUGACAAAAACUCCCCAAAUAAAGGUGUGCAACGCUUGUAGCGUCAUACCCAAGAAGUGUCCCCAGGAUCUCCAUGAGGAAGCACCACAGAGUGUUCAUCCAGCUCAGCUGCAGCUCAGAGUACUGGUACCCAGAGCCUGACAUGUUGUGGACAGACAGCAAUGGGAAGGAGAUCACCUCAGCAGAGACAGAGAGGCCCAAACAAAAGGAGGGGGGUGUCCUGUACUUCAUCACCAGUCACAUGAGAAUAGGAAAUUACAAACUGGAGGGGGUCACAUGUGUGGUGAUGUCACAGUUCCAGGGAACCAAGAUGGAGACUACACUGCAGAUGACUGGUGAGUUUAGGAACUGGAAUAUACUGCAGCCCAGGAAUGGGCAACUGGCGGCCCCCCUUUCGUAGGCCCGUGGACCAAUUUGACCACCUCCAAAAAAUCUUAAUUUACUGUUGAGAAUUAGAAUAAUAGAAUACACAAGGUGAAAUUUGCAUCAGCAAUCACUCAGUCAGCCCAUGUCAGCAAAGCAUUUCUAGAUUGACAAGUUAGUCUAGCGGCCAGCUAUCUAAACUUGUAGUAAGCAUGGUUGAAUUACUGACCGGCGUGGGGUCUAUUGAUCACCAGUUAUAACAUUAAAAACUGCACAUUAAAAACUAUAAACAUUAUUAACACCCUAUGGCAAAAAUAAUGACUUCUGUUUCUUUGUGGCCCCCACCCCAUCAAAGUUGCCCGUCGCUGCUGUCGACCAAUGCCCUGACAAGAGUCAGCCUGUUUGUUCAUUGCUAGUGUGUAAAUAAUGUGUUGAUAAUGUGUAAAGUUACGACUAAAGGUACAUCUUAUAUAAGAUUAAAAUUAGGUUUGAGUGUAUUUUGUAAAAAUGUGGAAUGUUGAACCUUAUACAAUUUGCAAAACGAAUGUAUUUCAAUGGUUAACUAAUCCUGCCUAAUCCAACCCUGCUUGUGUUACAGAUGAAUUCUACAUGAGCAGUCUGCCUGACAGGGUGUACAUCUCUGCAUUUAUGAUUCCUGUGUUUCUGGGGCUGCUGUGUAUCACUGCAUCUGUGCUCUCCUUAAUCCAUCAGAGACGAGUUGUUCGAGAAACACUGAAGCCUUUGGAUGAUAUGAAUACAAAAUGAAAAGCUAUGGAUCAAGAGCUCAUCAAAAAGACAGAGGAAGUCACUUAUAAGGAUAGGUUAAUGGGAAUUACUGAAACAAUCCCAGACUCUGGUAACUAUCGGCUCCUUUCACAUUAAUGCUGCACAAACUUCAAGUGAUUUGUCAUCUAAAUAUAUAAUCCAUGCAGUUUUGUUUUCAUAUAUAUAAUGUGUUCCGAAAUGAUUGACACCCUUGAUAAAGAUGUGCAACAAUGACUGGAUAAAAUAAAUAAUUAAAAUACUGAGUAAUAUUGUAUGCUCAAAAAAAUAUAAAAAAAAAUAUAUUAUUUAUUAGUAAUACAAUUGCUCAGAGAAAUAGAUUUUCCUGAAAAGUACUCUUUUUUUCUGAAAAUGUAGAGGUUAAAAUUAUUGACACACUGUCACGUCCUGACCAUAGUUCUUAUGUGUUUUGCUUGUUUUAGUGUUGGUCAGGACGUGAGCUGGGUGGGCAUUCUAUGUUGUGUGUCUAGUUUUCUGUUUCUAUGUUUGGCCUGAUAUGGUUCUCAAUCAGAGGCAGAUGUUUUGUGUUGUCUCUGAUUGGGAAUCAUAUAUAGGUGGCUUGUUUUGUGUUGGGAUUUUUUGGGUGGUUGUUUCCUGUCUCUGUGUUUUGUCUGCACCAGAUAGGGCUGUAUUCGGUAAGCCACGUUUGUUAUUUUGUACGUGUUCACAGUUUUGUCUUGUUUAAAUAUGUUGAACACGGAAUACGCUGCGUCUUGGUCCGAUCCCUGCUACCGUUACACACACCUGUUUUCAAUACAUUUCAAUACCUCACCUUGUGUGGAUUAUGACACUGAGCCUUUUUCUAAAAUGUUUUAGAACAUACAGAAACCUUCCAGAUCUUUGGUAUCGUUCAUCUGUAACUCCAUCUUCAAUUCAAACCAUAGGUUUUCAAUGGGUUUCAAGUCCGGAGACUGAAAAUGUCGUGUGCUUGGGGUCAUUGUCUUGCUGAAAGGUCCACUUGCAGCCAAGUAUCAGCCUCCUGGCAGAGGCAACCAGGUUUCUGGCUAAAAUGUCAUGGUACUGGGUAUAUUUCAUGAUGCCGUUACACCUUUACAAGGACCCCAGGACCAGUGGAGCAAAAUAACCCCAUAACAUCAAAGAUCCACCAUAUUUGACAGUAGUUAGGGGGUUAUUUUCUGCUCAUGUCUUCUCAUUUCGACACCAAACCCACCACAGGUGUGCGUGGCCAAAUAGCUCUAUUUUACUUAUUAGCGGGGACUGCAAUUAUUGACACCCUUGAUAAAGAUGAGCAAUAACUGUAUUCAAUAAUUAAUUCAGAUACUGAGCUAUAUUGUACAUUAAAAAAAUCCUGAAAAUAUAUUUUUUUAUACAGAUACAAUUGCUCAGAGAAAUAGAUUUUGUUGAACAAACUAUAUAUUUAUUUUUUGUCAAAAAGGUAGGGGUCAACAUUGACAAAUAUUAUUGACACCCAUAAAGAUUCUUAUGAAUAAAGUGUUCAAAAGUUUAGUAUUCGGUCCCAUAUUCCUAGAACGCAAUGACUACAUUAAGCUUGUGACUAUAAAACCAUGUUGGAUACAUUUUCAAUUCGUUUUGGUUGUGUUUCAGAAUAUUUCGCGCCCAAUAGAAGUUAAUGGUAAAUAAUGUAUCGUGUCAUUUGAGUCACUUUUACUACAAAUAAGAAUAAAAUGUGCUGCUAUACACUUCUAAUUGUGUUCUUAUGAAAGUGACUCCAAAAUGAUACAAUACAUUAUUUGCCAUUAAUUUCUAUUAAGCACAAAAUGAUCUGAAAUACAACCAAAACCAAGUGUUUAGAAACAUUUACAAUAAAAGUGACUCCAAAAUGACUCUAAUAACCACAUAGUCAUUGUAUCAUUUCAAGUUCAAAGUGCCGGAUUACAGAGCUAAUACAACCAAAAAUGUGUCACUGUUCCAAUACUUUUGUAUAAAUAUAUACUUCCAUCAAUUCCUUUUCUUCUUCCCCU